UACGAAGGGGGCUAGCGUUGUUCGGAUUUACUGGGCGUAAAGCGCACGUAGGCGGAUCGUUAAGUCGGGGGUGAAAUCCUGGAGCUCAACUCCAGAACUGCCUUCGAUACUGGCGAUCUUGAGUCCGGAAGAGGUGAGUGGAACUCCUAGUGUAGAGGUGGAAUUCGUAGAUAUUAGGAAGAACACCAGUGGCGAAGGCGGCUCACUGGUCCGGUACUGACGCUGAGGCACGAAAGUGUGGGGAUCAAACAGG
rnacentral:rRNA from 1 species